UUUUUUUUUUUUUUUUUUUUUUUUUUUUUUUUUUCUU
rnacentral:ribozyme from 1 species